UACGGGGGGGGCAAGCGUUGUUCGGAAUUACUGGGCGUAAAGGGCUCGUAGGUGGCCAACUAAGUCAGACGUGAAAUCCCUCGGCUUAACCGGGGAACUGCGUCUGAUACUGGAUGGCUUGAGUUCGGGAGAGGGAUGCGGAAUUCCAGGUGUAGCGGUGAAAUGCGUAGAUAUCUGGAGGAACACCGGUGGCGAAGGCGACAUCCUGGACCGGUAUUGACGCUGAGGCGCGAAAGCCAGGGGAGGCAAACGGG
rnacentral:rRNA from 1 species